GGACACGUGCUAGAGCGGCCGAAUAGACCACCCUGCUAAGGUGGAGUCCCUGGUUACGGGGACCGAGGGUUCAAAUCCCUCCGUGUCCG
rnacentral:tRNA from 1 species